UGCCGGAUCGUCUAAUGGCAGGACGACACCCUUUGAAGGUGUUUAUCGUGGUUCGACCCCACGUCCGGCAA
rnacentral:tRNA from 1 species